UACGUAGGGGGCAAGCGUUAUCCGGAAUUACUGGGCGUAAAGCGCACGCAGGCGGUUCGCCAAGUUUGGAGUGACAGUUGUCGGCUCAACCGACAAAGGACUUCAAAAACUGGUGAACUUGAGGACGAGAGAGGAACAUGGAACUCCAGGUGUAGUAAUGAAAUUCGUAGAUAUCAAAGCGGAACACCGGUGGCGAAGGCGGCCUUACUGGG
rnacentral:rRNA from 1 species